rnacentral:lncRNA from 1 species
AUAAUUUACAAAGUUACCGAUUAAUUCAACUCUAUAAUUAUUCAGUACACAUAGGUUCGCUCUAAAUGAGUAUGAAAUACUUGCAACUGAACAAUAAGUAAUUUCAGUCAAAAGAUAAUUAACAAUUACAGAUUAAAUUUGGAAUUAUGAUAUUCAUUUAAAACUUACAUUCAAUUAGCUAAAGCUAAUAAAUAAAAACUUUGUCACGUGUGUCCCCAUCAUAGAAUUGCCGUAAAGUUAACGUUAUCAUCGAUUUUAUUUAGGAGUUACAUGUAUUAACGCUAAAAGACGUGAGACGUUCUGGCUUAAAUAUUGGACACGUUUUGGCGAACAACAUUUAUCGGACA